rnacentral:tRNA from 1 species
AAAAUAAGAAGUAAUUUUACAUUUAGUUUCGACCUAAAAUUUUGAUUUUUAUUAAAUCCUUAUUUU